rnacentral:antisense_RNA from 1 species
UCUGACCCGUUGGGCCGAGCCAGGUCGCGGACAACGUCGACUGUUUAAGAAGCAUGGACUCUUGUCCUGAGUGCACCGAAGCUUUCAGCCUGCGGGACAGUGGUGCGAUUUGCAUUAGAGCCUAUCUCCCAGGACUAUGGAAGCCCCAUGCAGGAACAUGGUUCUGAGACUUUGGGGGUUACACCCUAAGCUUAAAGAACUGGAAAAGCCCCUGAAGUCCUGAGACCACAACCCUCCACCUUCUAAAGAUAAGACAAGUCACUGAAGGU